GUUGUACCUCAGCCCGUUGCAGCCAUCUGUCUGAGGCCGUACAUCAGCCUGAGGAAAAGCACACACAGGGAAAAACAGUCUGGAUGUUUUCUCUAACUGGAGAAGAACUGGAAUCUUGCAAGCAAGGUCUGCUACAGUUCAGAAGAAUACUGAAGCUAAGCGAUGACGAAUUCCAAAUCUUCUCUGGCACUGGCAGCAAUCCCUUCUUCAGUGGGAAUGGCAGAUGCUAAGUCAUUUCAGAAAAGGGAAGGAUAUAAGGUUCACCCUACAGCCUUAAAUUUUUCAAGAGAUAAAAGAUAUGGUGAGUAUUACUAUACUCUGUCAAACAUACUAUUGGUACACUUAUC